UACGAAGGGAGCUAGCGUUGCUCGGAAUCACUGGGCGUAAAGGGUGCGUAGGCGGGUUUUUAAGUCAGGGGUGAAAUCCUGGAGCUCAACUCCAGAACUGCCUUUGAUACUGAAGAUCCUGAGUCCGGGAGAGGUGAGUGGAACUGCGAGUGUAGAGGUGAAAUUCGUAGAUAUUCGCAAGAACACCAGUGGCGAAGGCGGCUCACUGGACACGUAUUGACGCUGAGGUGCGAAAGCGUGGGGAGCAAACAGG
rnacentral:rRNA from 1 species